GACGAACGCUGGCGGCGUGCUUAACACAUGCAAGUCGAACGGAAAGGCCCUGCUUUUGUGGGGUGCUCGAGUGGCGAACGGGUGAGUAACACGUGAGUAACCUGCCCUUGACUUUGGGAUAACUUCAGGAAACUGGGGCUAAUACCGGAUAGGAGCUCCUGCUGCAUGGUGGGGGUUGGAAAGUUUCGGCGGUUGGGGAUGGACUCGCGGCUUAUCGGCUUGUUGGUGGGGUAGUGGCUUACCAAGGCUUUGACGGGUAGCCGGCCUGAGAGGGUGACCGGCCACAGUGGGACUGGGGUACGGCCCAGACUGCUACGGGAGGCAGCGGUGGGGGAUAUUGCGCAAUGGGCGGAAGCCUGAUGCAGGAACGCCGCGUGCGAGAUGACGGCCUUCGGGUUGUAAACCGCUUUCGCCUGUGACGAAGCGUGAGUGACGGUAAUGGGUAAAGAAGCACCGGCUAACUACGUG
rnacentral:rRNA from 1 species